GGUGGCCUCUGCCCUCCAUGCUGCUGUCAACUUCGGACAAUAUGCGUUUGCUGGUUUCCCCCCAAAUCGGCCAUUCAUGACCCGGAAGCUCAUGCCACAACCAGGAUCCCCUGAGUUCGAAGAGCUGAAAUCAAAUCCAGACAAGGUAUACCUCCACACCAUCUCUGACAGGUCCCAUGCUCUCCUGGGAAUGACAUUGCUGGAGAUACUGUCGCGGCACGCUUCUGAUGAGGUGUACCUCGGCCAGAGGGACUCGCCCGAGUGGACCAAUGACCAGAGGGCGCUGAAUGUGUUUAAUGGUUUCACGGCGAGGUUGAUAGAGAUAGAGAAAGGGAUUGUGGCGCUGAACCAGGAUAAGGAGUUGAAGAACAGGAAAGGGUAUAUGCUGCAGUAUCCCAACACAUCGGAUCACACUGGGAUUGGAGGGCUCACCGGGAAGGGGAUCCCCAACAGCAUUUCUAUUUGAGAGUCAGUGAAGUAAGGCUUUUUCAAAUGCUUAAAAUAAAUACGAGGUCAUGUGAUCCUUGUCUAGUGUUGCUAUGUGAGUUUAUAUUAAUAUCCUUCUCUUUGUAGUUGCCCGACUUGGCUGAACUCUAUGUAUAAUAAGUUCGUGCAUUUUAAUAAGAGUGAUAUAGUGCACUGUUCUU
rnacentral:misc_RNA from 1 species